GACAGCAGCCGCCGCGGGAAUACGUAGGGUGCGAGCGUUAAUCGGAAUUACUGGGCGUAAAGCGUGCGCAGGCGGUUGUGUAAGACAGGUGUGAAAUCCCCGGGCUUAACCUGGGAACUGCGCUUGUGACUGCACAGCUAGAGUAUGGCAGAGGGGGGUGGAAUUCCACGUGUAGCAGCGAAAUGCGUAGAGAUGUGGAGGAACACCGAUGGCGAAGGCAGCCCCCUGGGCCAAUACUGACGCUCAUGCACGAAAGCGUGGGGAGCAAACAGGAUUAGAUACCCCAGUAGUCCCUGUCUCUUAUAC
rnacentral:rRNA from 1 species